GAUGAACGCUAGCGGCAGGCCUAAUACAUGCAAGUCGAGGGGCAGCAGGGGUAGCAAUACUCGCUGGCGACCGGCGCACGGGUGCGUAACACGUAUACAAUCUGCCUUUAACGAGGGGGAUAGCCCGGAGAAAUCCGGAUUAACUACCCCAUAAUACUUGAAAUGGCAUCUAUUUUAAGUUGAAAGCUCCGGCGGUUAGAGAUGAGUAUGCGUCUG
rnacentral:rRNA from 1 species